ACACACUCAACCUCACUUCUCUCUCACCUUAACCCUACUCUCUCUCCUCACGUUCCUCAUUUUUUCACAAAACCUUCCACUUUCAUCUUCUUCCACCGCUACAUCUUCUUCCACCGUCUACUUCUGAAACUCAAAUUUCUCAUUUCAAAACUCAAUGUUCUUCUUUCUUUUCUCUAUUUCAGAAUCGAAGCAUAAAUAUGGAUCUGAGGACGAACAAGGGAGUAGAGAAUGAAAGGCUACUCCUAUGGCGGUGUGGGAUUCGUGAGGAACGUGUGGUGGUCGGUCAUUAUUUAUGCGAUUUGAAGGUUUUUUACAGGCUUUAUUUAUAUGUGCACAUUUUAGGGGUUUCAAAAUGUUGGAUUCAAAUUUGGAGAGGUCAGUCCUUCUGAUUAAACUCAGAUCUGAGGUAUUUAUUUAGCAAACUGAUCAAUAUUUACAUUCAGUUCUUACUAAAAUAAUUUCUCUUUGAUUUUUCACUAACUUAGUUUUAUAUGAUUCAUUAUGUAUUGUUUUUUUAUGUGGAGAAAAUAGAUUAGAUCUACAAAAUUAACUUGUGUGUGAGGGUGAAGAAGAAAACAACAACGUAACUUGAAUCUAAUUUUUUUUACAUGUUUAAAACUAAAUUUGUUAGGUACAUGCUGAAGCAAAUUGGAGUGAAUAUUGCAAAUGUUUAUGGGGGUGCUCCUAUUAGUCAACAUCCAUCUUCGGGUUUUCGAGAGGGGUGUUGAUAUUCUGGUUGCAACUUUGGAAUGUUUGGUGAAUAUGAUUGAGGGAGGAAAGGUAAUAUGAUGUCUAUUAUUGAUGCAACAUUGAUUUGUUAUAUACAUGAAUGUCCCAUAUUAAUAACUUCUUAUUGAUUUGUCUGCAACAUUUAUAUUAGAGGUAUCACAAUCGCGGCAACGGUGGUGGCGGGGAUGGUUUUGCGAGAGGUUAAGGUAAUCGCAGAGGUUCUGUUUCUACCGUGAAUACUUGUGAUCUGAAUCUCAUUAAGUCAUCUGAAGUUCAUGACAAUCACAUUGAUCAUCCAAUUCUUAUUUACUCUCAUGUUGUUUGUGACACAAACAAGACUGUACCAGUUGAUAAUGAUCUAUCCAUGAGUCAUGCUAGACACAAAGACUUGGUUCCAAUUUUCAACUAUUUCAAAUAUAAGGGCUUUUAUGUUUUUUUAUGUUCUCUACUUUAAUUUUAUAUAUGGUUUAGUUAGAGGGAAAGAAACUAUGUUCUUCUGGUUUUAUUCAUGGUUCUGACUGUUUGAUUGUUGUUGGUAUAAGUGGGAUUAGUUAUGUGGAUGUUACAGUAUCUACAGUUUGGGCUAUGUGGAUGUCGAAAGUUGAUUAUGCGUUUGCUGAUUCCUGUUCGCUUGAUAUCUCCUCUGGCACCACUGCUUCAACUGCUCUUGUAUUUGGGAGGAUACUAAAGUUGUAUUAUUAUCAUUACUCUUUGGUAACCAUAUAAUGGGCAUUUGCUUAUUUAGUUAUAAUUUACUUGGGAAAAUCCAAAGAAACUUGGAUAGUGUUUUUGUCCUCUCUUAUUGGAGAUGGAAGGCAAAACU